rnacentral:rRNA from 1 species
ACGGAAGGCAGCAGUGGGGAAUAUUGGGCAAUGGGCGCAAGCCUGACCCAGCAAUGCCGCGUGAGUGAAUGAAGGUCUUUUGAUUGUAAACUUCUUUUAAGGGGGAAGAGGAGAAGACGGUACCCCUAGAAUAAGCCACGGCUAACUACGUGCCAGCAGCCGCGGUAAUACGUAGGUGGCAAGCGUUGUCCGGGUUUACUGGGUGUAAAGGGCGUGUGGCCGGGGGAGCAAGUCAGAUGUGAAAUCUAUGGGCUUAACCCAUAAACUGCAUUUGAAACUGUUCUUCUUGAGUGCUGGAGGGGCAAUCGGAAUUCCUUGUGUAGCGGUGAAAUGCGUAGAUAUAAGGAGGAACACCAGUGGCGAAGGCGGAUUGCUGGACAGUAACUGACGGUGAGGCGCGAAAGUGUGGGGAGCAAACAGGAUUAGAUACCCUGGUA